ACAGUAGGGACAAGCACCCGUUUUCGAGUCAGCCACGCAGAUUUACUUGCGCAUCCCAAGCGGCCAUGUUCUUGGGCGCACCAAUCCCGUUCAAAGUAAAGAACGCACAUUAUCUCCGUAACUGUGAUCAUAUACAGAUAGAGAAACAUAACCAAAUAUAAAAAUUCGCAUAUUGUAUUGUAUUCCCAGUGAGAAAGCUGUUAUCAAUUCAAUAUCGAAUCGAUAUCAAUGCCAUCACAAUAUAUCGACAGAUAUAUAUAUAUACAACGUGGAAACAUUGACGGAUUUAAAAAUUUCGAUCUUUCUUCGAGAUAUACCGCUAAAAGGUUUACAUUCAAAAAUAUAAUUGAUUUUACAAACGUCAUUACCAAUUAUUAUAACAAGUUGUUGCAAAAUUUGCUUAGUUAUAUUCAAAAAUAUUCAUAAAUUCAAGUAAAAAAGUGUUUAUCUCGCGAGAAAUGAUGAUCGAAAAGAUGUCAUAUCGAUGUCGAAUCGAUGUGAGGUAUUUGCUUGUACUAGCCUCACUUUUGUGUCUCCGGCCGUACAUGUUGCUGCGUGUCUCUGGUCACAUCACUUUGAUCUAAGGAUCACUAUAAAGAAAGUUUAUAGCGCAACCUAAACUAUUUCUCAUUGCUGCAGAUAUUUAUAUACAUAUAUGUACUUUGAGUACGCAUACAGUAUUAAUAUACUGAUUGGAUAACUUA